GCACUAUAAAGGUUUUCCUUGGUAUGUGUUUAUUAACAAUCAUGUUUCUGGACCAUCGGGGGAUGUUGUGUGACGGAUGGAAUCUUUCCAUCCUAAACUAGAGAUAUCGGAUUCAAAUCCUAGGAAUGAAAUGCAGUGUGAGACUGGAUUAAUCGGACUAGUAGGUUCCGUAUACCAAAUGUUUUAUCAACAAUGCCUUGUUUUUGGACCACCCAGGGAUGUUGUGUGACGUAUGGAAUCUUUCCUUCCAAAACUAGAGAUAUCAGAUUCAAAUCAUAGGAAUGAAAUGCAGUGUGAAACUGGAUUAAUCGGACUAGUAGGUUCUGGACACCAGAUAUUUUAUCAACAAUGCAUUGUUUCUGGACUACCUGGGGAUGUUGUGUGACGGAUGGAAUCUUUCCAUCCUAAACUAGAGAUAUCGGGUUCAAAUCCUAGGAAUGAAAUGCAGCGUGAAAUUGGAUUAACCGGACUAGUAGGUUCCGGAUACCAGAUGUUUUAUCAACAAGGCAUUG
rnacentral:lncRNA from 1 species